rnacentral:rRNA from 1 species
GACGAGCCACACAAACGUUAUUCGGAAUUACUGGGCUUAAAGGGUGCGUAGGCGGCGCGGACAGUUGGGUGUGAAAUCCCUCGGCUCAACCGAGGAAUUGCGCUCAAAACUACCGUGCUCGAGGGAGAUAGAGGAGUGCGGAACUUAGGGUGGAGCGGUGAAAUGCGUUGAUAUCCUAGGGAACACCGGUGGCGAAAGCGGCACUCUGGAUCUCAUCUGACGCUGAUGCACGAAAGCUAGGGUAGCAAACGGG